AACCGUUGAUUCGCACAAU
rnacentral:snRNA from 1 species